UUUCUCAGUAUCUUGGUUUCCUCAUCUGGAAAAUGGGAUAACAGUCAUUAUCCGGACCCUGACCCUGACCCUGGGAAACAGAGCAGCAAGCUGAUGAGGUCACAUGACGAAGCAUCUCUCAUCUCAGUGAUGGACUCCUCUUACACAGUUGUGUGAUGCUGUCACUGCAAAUCACCACUGUUGCCCCAAAGAUUGAUGAUGCC